UACGUAGGGUGCAAGCGUUGUCCGGAAUUAUUGGGCGUAAAGAGCUCGUAGGCGGCUUGUCGCGUCGGCUGUGAAAACUCGGGGCUCAACCCCGAGCCUGCAGUCGAUACGGGCAGGCUAGAGUCCGGCAGGGGAGACUGGAAUUCCUGGUGUAGCGGUGAAAUGCGCAGAUAUCAGGAGGAACACCGGUGGCGAAGGCGGGUCUCUGGGCCGGAACUGACGCUGAGGAGCGAAAGCGUGGGGAGCGAACAGG
rnacentral:rRNA from 1 species